GCUCAGUAACACGUAGUCAACCUGCCCUAGAGACAUGAAUAACCCCGGGAAACUGGGAUUAAUACAUGAUAGAUCAUCUCAUCUGGAAGGAGAGAUGGUUUAAAGGGGUGCGCGAGCUUCUUUUGUGCAUCCGCUCUAGGAUGGGACUGCGGCCGAUCAGGCUGUUGGUGGGGUAAUGGCCCACCAAACCUGUAACCGGUACGGGCCUUGAGAGAGGGGGCCCGGAGAUGGACACUGAGAGAAGGGUCCAGGUCCUACGGGGCGCAGCAGGCGCGAAACCUUCGCAAUGCGCGAAAGCGUGACGAGGUUAAUCCGAGUGGUUCCCGCUGAGGGAAUCUUUUGUUGGCUCUAAAAUGGCCAGUGAAUAAGGGGAGGGCAAGUCUGGUGUCAGCCGCCGCGGUAAUACCAGCUCCUCGAGUGGUCGGGGCGAUUAUUGGGCCUAAAGCAUCCGUAGCCUGUUCUGUAGGUCUUCUGUUAAAUCCAACGGCUUAACCGUUGGCCUGCAGAAGAUACCGCAGGACUAGGAGGCGGGAGAGGUGGACGGUACUCCACGUGUAGGGGUAAAAUCCUUUGAUCCGUGGAAGACCACCAGUGGCGAAGGCGGUCCACCAGAACGCGCUCGACGGUGAGGGAUGAAAGCUGGGGGAGCGAACCGGAUUAGAUACCCGGGUAGUCCCAGCCGUAAACGAUGCGAGCUAGAUGAUCCAAUCGCAAAUCGCGAUUGGAGUGUCGCAGGGAAGCCGUUAAGCUCGCCGCCUGGGGAGUACGGUCGCAAGACUGAAACUUAAAGGAAUUGGCGGGA
rnacentral:rRNA from 1 species